UAUGUAGGGGGCAAGCGUUGUCCGGAAUCAUUGGGCGUAAAGAGCGUGUAGGUGGCUCGGUAAGUCCGCUGUAAAAGUCCAGGGCUCAACCCUGGAGAGCCGGUGGAAACUGUCGAGCUAGAGUCCGGAAGAGGCGAGUGGAAUUCCUGGUGUAGCGGUGAAAUGCGCAGAUAUCAGGAGGAACACCAAUGGCGAAGGCAGCUCGCUGGGACGGUACUGACACUGAGACGCGAAAGCGUGGGGAGCAAACAGG
rnacentral:rRNA from 1 species